CAGUCAGUCUUCAUUUUCCUCUAUAGUCAGAGUGUUUCCGUACACUUGUAAUUGUGCUGCUGCCAUGCCAUUAUUUGUCUUUUCAGUAGGGAACAUGAGAGGACCAUUUGCAGAGGUCUAGAGCUCACGUUUCAAGAAUUUUUCAAGAGGCAUUAGUGAACUGACGGAAGGUGAUCAUCAGCAGGCCUUAGGUGGUAUGACCUCUUCCUCAUUGGGUUGGUGACCUGGACCUUUACAGUGAUGGGGAAGCUGACCUGUUCUUUCUCCCUGACUAGGAGAGAUGAAGUCUUGGAGAGAAUGGUUAGAUCGGAGAGCUGCCGCACGUCGUGCGCGCUCUCGUGUUUCUCGCGCGACAACCGGACUAUAGACGCUGCUGCAGAGGA